rnacentral:misc_RNA from 1 species
GUUGUCUCCAGUAAAACCUGUGAG